GAUGAACGCUGGCGGCGUGCCUAAUACAUGCAAGUCGAGCGAAUGGAUUAAGAGCUUGCUCUUAUGAAGUUAGCGGCGGACGGGUGAGUAACACGUGGGUAACCUGCCCAUAAGACUGGGAUAACUCCGGGAAACCGGGGCUAAUACCGGAUAACAUUUUGAACCGCAUGGUUCGAAAUUGAAAGGCGGCUUCGGCUGUCACUUAUGGAUGGACCCGCGUCGCAUUAGCUAGUCGGUGAGGUAACGGCUCGCCAAGGCAACGAUGCGUAGCCGACCUGAGAGGGUGAUCGGCCACACUGGGACUGAGACACGGCCCAGACUCCUACGGGAGGCAGCAGUAGGGAAUCUUCCGCAAUGGACGAAAGUCUGACGGAGCAACGCCGCGUGAGUGAUGAAGGCUUUCGGGUCGUAAAACUCUGUUGUUAGGGAAGAACAAGUGCUAGUUGAAUAAGCUGGCACCUUGACGGUACCUAACCAGAAAGCCACGGCUAACUACGUGCCAGCCGCCGCCGUAA
rnacentral:rRNA from 1 species